GCCGGAAUAGCUCAGUUGGGAGAGCGUUAGACUAAAUUUGUUUACGCAACAGUCAUCUAAAGGCCCCCCCGAUUCAAUCCCGGGUUCCGGCA
rnacentral:tRNA from 1 species